rnacentral:rRNA from 1 species
GACGAACGCUGGCGGCGUGCUUAACACAUGCAAGUCGAACGGAAAGGCCCUGCUUUUGUGGGGUGCUCGAGUGGCGAACGGGUGAGUAACACGUGAGUAACCUGCCCUUGACUUUGGGAUAACUUCAGGAAACUGGGGCUAAUACCGGAUAGGAGCUCCUGCUGCAUGGUGGGGGUUGGAAAGUUUCGGCGGUUGGGGAUGGACUCGCGGCUUAUCAGCUUGUUGGUGGGGUAGUGGCUUACCAAGGCUUUGACGGGUAGCCGGCCUGAGAGGGUGACCGGCCACAUUGGGACUGAGAUACGGCGCAGACUCCUACGGGAGGCAGCAGUGGGGAAUAUUGCACAAUGGGCGGAAGCCUGAUGCAGCAACGCCGGGUGCGUGAUGACGGCCUUCGGGUUGUAAACCGCUUUCGCCUGUGACGAAGCGUGAGUGACGGUAAUGGGUAAAGAAGCACCGGCUAACUACGUG